GUGCGAAGGUAGCAUAAUCACUUGUUCUUUAAAUGAGGACUCGUAUCAACGGCACUACGAGGGCUAUACUGUCUCCUUUUUCUAAUCAGUGAAACUGAUCUCCCCGUGAAGAAGCGGGGAUCAAAAUAUAAGACGAGAAGACCCCAUGGAGCUUUAAACUCAUCACGCACCUCUGUGCCCCCAUUCCCUUAAACACAAGAGAUCUGCGUGCUAGUUUUAGGUUGGGGGGACCACGGAGUAUAACUUAACCUCCAUAACAAAUGGGCUAACACCCUUAUCCAUGAGACACAGCUCUAAGAAUUACCAAACUAAUGCUUAUGACCCGAUAUUCGAUCAAUGAACCAAGUUACCCUGGGGAUAACAGCGCAAUCUACUUCAAGAGCCCAUAUCGACAAGUAGGUUUACGACCUCGAUGUUGGAUCAGGGUAU
rnacentral:rRNA from 1 species